AUUGAACGCUGGCGGCAGGCCUAACACAUGCAAGUCGAACGAGUGGCGGACGGGUGAGUAAUGUCUGGGAAACUGCCUGAUGGAGGGGGAUAACUACUGGAAACGGUAGCUAAUACCGCAUACCAUCGGAUGUGCCCAGAUGGGAUUAGCUAGUAGGUGGGGUAAAGGCUCACCUGGGCGACGAUCCCUAGCUGGUCUGAGAGGAUGACCAGCCACACUGGAACUGGGACACGGUCCAGACUCCUACGGGAGACAGCAGUGGGAAAUAGUGCACAAUGGGCGCAAGCCUGAUGCAGCCAUGCCGGGUGUAUGAAGAGGGCCUUGGGUUUGUAAAGUACUUUCAGCGGGGAGGCGUUACCCGCAGAAGAAGCACCGGCUAACUCCGUGCCAGCAGCCGGGUAAUUC
rnacentral:rRNA from 1 species